CCUACGGGUUGCAGCAGUGGGGAAUAUUGGACAAUGGGCGCAAGCCUGAUCCAGCAAUGCCGCGUGUGUGAAGAAGGCCUUCGGGUUAUAAAGCACUUUUAUCAGGAGCGAAAUCUGCAUGCUUAAUACGUGUGCAGUCUGACGGUACCUGAGGAAUAAGCACCGGCUAACUUCGUGCCAGCAGCCGCGGUAAUACGAAGGGUGCAAGCGUUAAUCGGAAUUACUGGGCGUAAAGGAUGCGUAGGCGGUUCGUUAAGUCUGUCGUGAAAUCGCCGGGCUCAACCUGGGAAUGGCGAUGGAUACUGGCGAGCUAGAGUGUGUCAGAGGAUGGUGGAAUUCCCGGUGUGGCGGUGAAAUGCGUAGAGAUCGGGAGGAACAUCAGUGGCGAAGGCGGCCAUCUGGGACAACACUGACGCUGAAGCACGAAAGCGUGGGGAGCAAACAGGAUUAGAUACCCUGGUAGUC
rnacentral:rRNA from 1 species